rnacentral:sRNA from 1 species
GUUUGCACUUGUCGGGGAAGGAUGAGAAGCUUCGACUAAGGUUCGAUUCGAGCGCAGCGAGAAAGCGUUGCCGCAGGCAACGACCCGAAGGGCGAAGCGCGCAGCGCUGAGUAAUCCUUCCCCCACCACCA